rnacentral:rRNA from 1 species
AGCGAACUCUGGCGGCAGGCCUAACACAUGCAAGUCGAACGAACCUUUGGGGGUUAUUGGCGGACGGGUGUGUAACACGUGGGAACGUGCCCUUAGGUUCGGAAUAACUCAGGGAAACUUGUGCUAAUACCGAAUGUGCCCUUCUGGGGAAAGAUUUAUCGCCCUUAGAGCGUCCCGCGUCUGAUUAGCUAGUUGGUUGAGUUAAUGGCUCACCAACGCGACGAUCAGUAGUUGGUCUGGGAGCGUGAUCAGCCACUUUGGGACGGAGACCCAGCCGGAAAUCCUACGGGAGGCGGCAGUGGGGGAUCUUGCGCAAUGGGGGAAAGCAUGAAGCAGCCAUGCCGCGUGAAUGCUGAAGGUCUUAGGAUUGUAAAAUUCUUUCACCGGGGACGGUAAUGACGGUACCCGAAGAAGAAGCCCCGGCUAACUUCGUG